GACGAACGCUGGCGGCGUGCUUAACACAUGCAAGUCGAACGGAAAGGCCCUGCUUUUGUGGGGUGCUCGAGUGGCGAACGGGUGAGUAACACGUGAGUAACCUGCCCUUGACUUUGGGAUAACUUCAGGAAACUGGGGCUAAUACCGGAUAGGAGCUCCUGCUGCAUGGUGGGGGUUGGAAAGUUUCGGCGGUUGGGGAUGGACUCGCGGCUUAUCAGCUUGUUGGUGGGGUAGUGGCUUACCAAGGCUUUGACGGGUAGCCGGCCUGAGAGGGUGACCGGCCACAUUGGGACUGAGAUACGGCCCAGACUCCUACGGGAGGCAGCAGUGGGGAAUAUUGCACAAUGGGCGGAAGCCUGAUGCAGCAACGCCGCGUGCGGGAUGACGGCCUUCGGGUUGUAAACCGCUUUCGCCUGUGACGAAGCGUGAAUGACGGUAAUGGGUAAAGAAGCACCGGCUAACUACGUGCCAGCAGCCGCGGUGAUACGUAGGGUGCGAGCGUUGUCCGGAUUUAUUGGGCGUAAAGGGCUCGUAGGUGGUUGAUCGCGUCGGAAGUGUAAUCUUGGGGCUUAACCCUGAGCGUGCUUUCGAUACGGGUUGACUUGAGGAAGGUAGGGGAGAAUGGAAUUCCUGGUGGAGCGGUGGAAUGCGCAGAUAUCAGGAGGAACACCAGUGGCGAAGGCGGUUCUCUGGGCCUUUCCUGACGCUGAGGAGCGAAAGCGUGGGGAGCGAACAGGCUUAGAUACCCUGGUAGUCCACGCUGUAAACGGUGGGUACUAGGUGUGGGGUCCAUUCCACGGGUUCCGUGCCGUAGCUAACGCUUUAAGUACCCCGCCUGGGGAGUACGGCCGCAAGGCUAAAACUCAAAGGAAUUGACGGGGCCCCGCACAAGCGGCGGAGCAUGCGGAUUAAUUCGAUGCAACGCGUAGAACCUUACCUGGGUUUGACAUGGAUCGGGAGUGCUCAGAGAUGGGUGUGCCUCUUUUGGGGUCGGUUCACAGGUGGUGCAUGGCUGUCGUCAGCUCGUGUCGUGAGAUGUUGGGUUAAGUCCCGCAACGAGCGCAACCCUUGUUCACUGUUGCCAGCACGUUAUGGUGGGGACUCAGUGGAGACCGCCGGGGUCAACUCGGAGGAAGGUGGGGAUGACGUCAAGUCAUCAUGCCCCUUAUGUCCAGGGCUUCACGCAUGCUACAAUGGCUGGUACAGAGAGUGGCGAGCCUGUGAGGGUGAGCGAAUCUCGGAAAGCCGGUCUCAGUUCGGAUUGGGGUCUGCAACUCGACCUCAUGAAGUCGGAGUCGCUAGUAAUCGCAGAUCAGCAACGCUGCGGUGAAUACGUUCCCGGGGCU
rnacentral:rRNA from 1 species